GGUUAAGCGACUAAGCGUACACGGUGGAUGCCCUGGCAGUCAGAGGCGAUGAAGGACGUGCUAAUCUGCGAAAAGCGUCGGUAAGGUGAUAUGAACCGUUACAGCCGGCGAUGUCCGAAUGGGGAAACCCAGUGCAAUUCGUUGCACUAUCGUUAACUGAAUACAUAGGUUAACGAGGCGAACCGGGGGAACUGAAACAUCUAAGUACCCCGAGGAAAAGAAAUCAACCGAGAUUCCCCCAGUAGCGGCGAGCGAACGGGGAGCAGCCCAGAGUCUGAAUCAGCUUGUGUGUUAGUGGAACGGUCUGGAAAGUCCGACGGUACAGGGUGAUAGUCCCGUACACCAAAAUGCACAGGCUGUGAACUCGAAGAGUAGGGCGGGACACGUGGUAUCCUGUCUGAAUAUGGGGGGACCAUCCUCCAAGGCUAAAUACUCCUGACUGACCGAUAGUGAACCAGUACCGUGAGGGAAAGGCGAAAAGAACCCCGGCGAGGGGAGUGAAAAAGAACCUGAAACCGUGUACGUACAAGCAGUGGGAGCACCUUCGGGUGUGACUGCGUACCUUUUGUAUAAUGGGUCAGCGACUUAUAUUCUGUAGCAAGGUUAACCGUAUAGGGGAGCCGCAGGGAAACCGAGUCUUAACUGGGCGUUAAGUUGCAGGGUAUAGACCCGAAACCCGGUGAUCUAGCCAUGGGCAGGUUGAAGGUUGGGUAACACUAACUGGAGGACCGAACCGACUAAUGUUGAAAAAUUAGCGGAUGACUUGUGGCUGGGGGUGAAAGGCCAAUCAAACCGGGAGAUAGCUGGUUCUCCCCGAAAGCUAUUUAGGUAGCGCCUCGUGAACUCAUCUUCGGGGGUAGAGCACUGUUUCGGCUAGGGGGUCAUCCCGACUUACCAACCCGAUGCAAACUACGAAUACCGAAGAAUGUUAUCACGGGAGACACACGGCGGGUGCUAACGUCCGUCGUGAAGAGGGAAACAACCCAGACCGCCAGCUAAGGUCCCAAAGUCAUGGUUAAGUGGGAAACGAUGUGGGAAGGCACAGACAGCCAGGAUGUUGGCUUAGAAGCAGCCAUCAUUUAAAGAAAGCGUAAUAGCUCACUGGUCGAGUCGGCCUGCGCGGAAGAUGUAACGGGGCUAAACCAUGCACCGAAGCUGCGGCAGCGACACUAUGUGUUGUUGGGUAGGGGAGCGUUCUGUAAGCCUGCGAAGGUGACCUGUGAGGGUUGCUGGAGGUAUCAGAAGUGCGAAUGCUGACAUAAGUAACGAUAAAGCGGGUGAAAAGCCCGCUCGCCGGAAGACCAAGGGUUCCUGUCCAACGUUAAUCGGGGCAGGGUGAGUCGACCCCUAAGGCGAGGCCGAAAGGCGUAGUCGAUGGGAAACAGGUUAAUAUUCCUGUACUUGGUGUUACUGCGAAGGGGGGACGGAGAAGGCUAUGUUAGCCGGGCGACGGUUGUCCCGGUUUAAGCAUGUAGGCUGGUUAUCCAGGCAAAUCCGGAUAAUCAAGGCUGAGGUGUGAUGACGAGGCACUACGGUGCUGAAGUAACAAAUGCCCUGCUUCCAGGAAAAGCCUCUAAGCAUCAGGUAACAUCAAAUCGUACCCCAAACCGACACAGGUGGUCAGGUAGAGAAUACCAAGGCGCUUGAGAGAACUCGGGUGAAGGAACUAGGCAAAAUGGUGCCGUAACUUCGGGAGAAGGCACGCUGGUGUGUAGGUGAAGUCCCUGCGGAUGGAGCUGAGACCAGUCGAAGAUACCAGCUGGCUGCAACUGUUUAUUAAAAACACAGCACUGUGCAAACACGAAAGUGGACGUAUACGGUGUGACGCCUGCCCGGUGCCGGAAGGUUAAUUGAUGGGGUUAUCCGUAAGGAGAAGCUCUUGAUCGAAGCCCCGGUAAACGGCGGCCGUAACUAUAACGGUCCUAAGGUAGCGAAAUUCCUUGUCGGGUAAGUUCCGACCUGCACGAAUGGCGUAAUGAUGGCCAGGCUGUCUCCACCCGAGACUCAGUGAAAUUGAACUCGCUGUGAAGAUGCAGUGUACCCGCGGCAAGACGGAAAGACCCCGUGAACCUUUACUAUAGCUUGACACUGAACAUUGAGCCUUGAUGUGUAGGAUAGGUGGGAGGCUUUGAAGCGUGGACGCCAGUCUGCGUGGAGCCAACCUUGAAAUACCACCCUUUAAUGUUUGAUGUUCUAACGUUGGCCCCUGACCGGGGUUGCGGACAGUGUCUGGUGGGUAGUUUGACUGGGGCGGUCUCCUCCCAAAGCGUAACGGAGGAGCACGAAGGUUAGCUAAUCCUGGUCGGACAUCAGGAGGUUAGUGCAAUGGCAUAAGCUAGCUUGACUGCGAGCGUGACGGCGCGAGCAGGUGCGAAAGCAGGUCAUAGUGAUCCGGUGGUUCUGAAUGGAAGGGCCAUCGCUCAACGGAUAAAAGGUACUCCGGGGAUAACAGGCUGAUACCGCCCAAGAGUUCAUAUCGACGGCGGUGUUUGGCACCUCGAUGUCGGCUCAUCACAUCCUGGGGCUGAAGUAGGUCCCAAGGGUAUGGCUGUUCGCCAUUUAAAGUGGUACGCGAGCUGGGUUUAGAACGUCGUGAGACAGUUCGGUCCCUAUCUGCCGUGGGCGCUGGAGAAUUGAGGGGGGCUGCUCCUAGUACGAGAGGACCGGAGUGGACGCAUCACUGGUGUUCGGGUUGUCAUGCCAAUGGCACUGCCCGGUAGCUAAAUGCGGAAGAGAUAAGUGCUGAAAGCAUCUAAGCACGAAACUUGCCCCGAGAUGAGUUCUCCCUGAGACUUUAAGUCUCCUGAAGGAACGUUGAAGACGACGACGUUGAUAGGCCGGGUGUGUAAGCGCAGCGAUGCGUUGAGCUAACCGGUACUAAUGAACCGUGAGGCUUAACCUU
rnacentral:rRNA from 2 species